rnacentral:rRNA from 1 species
CAGUCGCCACGGUAUACGGAGGGUGCAAGCGUUAAUCGGAAUUACUGGGCGUAAAGCGCACGCAGGCGGUCUGACAAGUCAGAUGUGAAAUCCCCGGGCUUAACCUGGGAACUGCAUUUGAAACUGUCAGGCUGGAGUCUUGUAGAGGGGGGUGGAAUUCCAGGUGUAGCGGUGAAAUGCGUAGAGAUCUGGAGGAAUACCGGUGGCGAAGGCGGCCCCCUGGACAAAGACUGACGCUCAGGUGCGAAAGCGUGGGGAGCAAACAGGAUUAGAUACCCCUGUAGUCCCUGUCUCUUAUACC